rnacentral:lncRNA from 1 species
UCACACUGCUGUGGCUACAGACUCUCAAAUUUAACUUCUCAAAUUUCAUAGGACUACUUCUCUCCAUUAAGGUCGAUAGAUCCCAUCUUGAUGCACACUUUACUCCUACAGUGGAUCAACUAUCGUCAACAUCCACUACAAGGGAUCAUUGAGACCCAUAUUUAUGUGUCAGUCAAAUUUUAGCAGCCUCAUUAUGAGCAGUCGUACUAUCUC